GAAGGCUCCCACUGGACCUACCUCUGAGACCAAUGAAGGACUGGCUCCUGGCAGGGAAAAGAGUCUUCCUGGAGCGUGAGGCAGAGACAUGGAAGAGAUGGAGGAAGGUCUCUGUAGCUGAAUUGACUUGGGAUGCAAAGAGGGGCCUGGAAUUACAG